rnacentral:rRNA from 1 species
UACGUAGGUGGCAAGCGUUGUCCGGAUUUAUUGGGCGUAAAGCGAGCGCAGGCGGUUCCUUAAGUCUGAUGUGAAAGCCCACGGCUCAACCGUGGAAGGUCAUUGGAAACUGGGUCACUUGAAUAUAGAAGAGGAAAGUGGAAUUCCAUGUGUAGCGGUGAAAUGCGUAGAUAUAUGGAGGAACACCAGUGGCGAAGGCGACUUUCUGGUCUAUUAUUGACGCUGAGGCUCGAAAGCAUGGGUAGCAAACAGGAUUAGAUA